rnacentral:lncRNA from 1 species
AGAAGCUGUUCCCUGAUGGAGAAUCUCAGCAACAAAGCACCGUUAAAUGAAAAGAGAUUGCUGAUAGAUUAUAGUUGACUUUUACAAAUUUAUGUAAAACCAUAGUGUUAGUCCCAAGUUUUUUAGCUCACUGGUUCGAAGGGCCAAGUGAGCUUUUCUCAUCACUUUGCGUCCGUCGUCGAGAACUUUUACUAAAAUCUUCUCCUCUGAAA